rnacentral:lncRNA from 1 species
AGCUUUGUUUUAUCCUUAGAUUUUAUAGUUUAUUUAUUUAUUUAUAUAUAUUCUUCUCCAAAACUCAUACAAUAAUUUUUUAUAUACACUUAUCUCACUAAAUACAUCUCACUCUUAAGCUUCUAGCUAAUUCCUCUAUGCCACUAGUGCAUUACAACUCAAUUUAGGUUACUUAAUUGGUAAUAAGUUAACACUUCUAGAAUUUUUUAAUUUGCCCUUACUAAUUUUAUGGGUUUACUAAUGUAUCCUUGGUUAAAUUCCUAUCCUAAUAUAA